rnacentral:rRNA from 1 species
GCAUAUCAAUAAGCGGAGGAAAAGAAACCAACAGGGAUUGCCUUAGUAACGGCGAGUGAAGCGGCAAUAGCUCAAAUUUGAAAUCUGGCGCUUGCGUCCGAGUUGUAAUUUGCAGAGGAUGAUUUUGGUUAGGUACCUUCCGAGUUCCUUGGAACAGGACGCCUUAGAGGGUGAGAGCCCCGUACGGUUGGAUGCCGAGCCUUUGUAAAUCUCCUUCGACGAGUCGAGUAGUUUGGGAAUGCUGCUCUAAAUGGGAGGUAAAUUUCUUCUAAAGCUAAAUACCGGCCAGAGACCGAUAGCGCACAAGUAGAGUGAUCGAAAGAUGAAAAGCACUUUGAAAAGAGGGUUAAAUAGCACGUGAAAUUGUUGAAAGGGAAGGAUUUAUGACCAGACUUUUUCUAGGAGGAUCAUCCGGUGUUCUCACCGGUGCACUUCUUCUAGUCUAGGCCAGCAUCGACUUUCGGCGGUGGAUAAAAGCUUUGGGAAUGUGACUCCUUUCGGGGAGUGUUAUAGCCUAUUGUAUAAUACACUGCUGGGGGUCGAGGUACGCGCUUCUGCAAGGAUGCUGGCGUAAUGGUUAUCAAUCACCCGUCUUGAAACACGGACCAAGGAGUCGAACAUUUGUGCAAGUGUUUGGGUGUUAAACCCUCACGCGUAAUGAAAGUGAACGGAGGUGAGAGCCCUUACGGGUGCAUCAUCGACCGAUCCUGAUGUUUUCGGAUGGAUUUGAGUAAGAGCAUAACUGUUCGGACCCGAAAGAUGGUGAACUAUGCGUGGAUAGGGUGAAGCCAGAGGAAACUCUGGUGGAGGCUCGCAGCGGUUCUGACGUGCAAAUCGAUCGUCAAAUCUGCGCAUGGGGGGCGAAAGACUAAUCGA